GACGAACGCUGGCGGCGUGCUUAACACAUGCAAGUCGAACGGAAAGGCCCUGCUUGCAGGGUACUCGAGUGGCGAACGGGUGAGUAACACGUGGGUGAUCUGCCCUGCACUUCGGGAUAAGCCUGGGAAACUGGGUCUAAUACCGGAUAGGAGCCAUUUUUAUUGUGAUGGUUGGAAAGUUUUUUCGGUGUAGGAUGAGCUCGCGGCCUAUCAGCUUGUUGGUGGGGUAAUGGCCUACCAAGGCGGCGACGGGUAGCCGGCCUGGGAGGGUGGACGGCCAAAUUGGACUGGAGUAACGGCCAGGAUCCCUAGGGAAGCCGGCGGGGGGGAUAAUGGCACAUUGGGGGAAGCCCGGUGGAACGAAGCCGGGGGGGGGGAUGAGGGCCUCCGGUUGGAAAACCCCUUCGGCCGGGAAGGAGCUGUUUGUGACGGUAACUGGAUAAGAAGCACCGGCUAACUACGUG
rnacentral:rRNA from 1 species